AAAAAAAAUAUUUUUUAAGUAUUUAUUUAUAUAUUUAUUAGAAUCCUAAAUUUCACAUUCCAAAAACCCUACCUUACCGCACCUCUCAACUCUAAACCCUAAGUCUAGAUUAGUUAACCCUAGGCGUAUUAGUGUCUUUUACCUUUCAUUAAAAGUGAGGGUAAAAGUAGUUAGUGUAAACAUGAAAAUUGGUACUAUGAAUGUGGCAAUUUCUCAUUUUUAAAACACAACAAGGAAAUAUGAAAUGAUCAUAAACAAAUAUUUGUUCUAUAGUAUAACUAAAUAAAUUUAAAAAUAUUUUGUAUGCAAACUUUAGAAAUUUAAAAAGAAUAUUUUGAAUGAGAUUAUCUAUUUGAUGAUUUCAGAUGAAUUUAUUGUACUGAACUUGAAAUAUAUUAGUAUAUAACAACAAUUAAUAACAAAGUAAAAUGUAUUAAACAAAUAUUUAUAUAUUAAUAAUGUCAAAUAAAAAACUUAAUCAAUAAUAUUACAAAAUUACAUUAUAUAAAACAUUAAAAUGUAAAUCAUAUAUUUAAAAUAUUUAUGAUUUUAUCAAUUUAUAUAUUUUUGAAAUGUAUAAUAACUGCAUGGACGUGCGGGUUAAACUCUAGUUAUUUAGUUACACGAUGAAAUAUCUACAUAAUUUUUUGACUGAUUUAACCAAUUUUGAACAUAAGGGGUCAUGUAAUGAAGUUCUAAUCUAUCGAGAUGAAUAGAGUUAGAACUGAGUGUUUCAAAAAAAAAAAAGAAUAGAGUUAGAACUGAACUAUAAUAUCACGUAUUAUAAGAAAAUAUGAAGUGACAUGAUUAAUCACCUCGUAUAUACAAGAUAUUUACUUUUUGCCAAUUGCUUAUUGGUUGAAAAAUCACAGAGUUAACAUUCUCAUUUACCAACAUAAAAAAAAAAGUAGAAAAAGACUUGCUUGGAGGAGUCAUAAAAAUUAAAAACCUUGAAGUAUACAGUAACAUGAAAUUCCCCAACUUCUUAUAUCUUUAAUGAUUGUCUUUGCAAUGAAAUUCAUAAAAGACAAAACAUUUACGAAACAUAAAUAUCAUAAACUAGUUUAUCAAAACUUUGAAAUUAUGUGUGUGGCGGCAAGAUCGCUUAUCUCACGGAAACUCGUCUAGUAAAUGUAUCAUUCAGGAGCGGUUCUCCAGAUCACACAGAUCACCGUUAUCGUCGUUGUGUUGCUUCCGGUGACCCUCGAACCCCUAUUAAUUUCAAUCCCUUUGUCUAUCUCACUCUUCGUGGAACUUAAUAUUAUUUAGGUUGUUGCAUCAUUUCUGAGACAUUUGCACAUAAAUUGAUAACCUCCUCAUAUGUGGGCUUGGCAGUUUGGUUCAUUUUGCUUGUGUGUAUUUGGGCUACAAAUCAGAAAAUGGCCAUUACCACUGUGUUUUUCUUUCUCAUCCUCUUUAUAGAAAAUCAUUUAUCAAAAAAAAAAAAGAGUAUUUGUACUAUAAACCAAAUUCUAUAGUGAAUUCUAUAGUAUUCACCCAAUUCACUAUAGAAUUUAUACCUUUGUUUACGAUUGUGAGAAAAGAAAAAGAGUAUUUUUUUUUUUUUUUUUUUUUUUUUUUUUGUUACUGUGUAUCUACGGUUAAAAUUGGAAUUUUAAAAUCAAUAUACCAAUAUAAUGUAUGUAUAUUUUAAUUGAAUAUUAUAAUAUAAUAUAUAUUAGAAAUAUUCAGUCAAUUGGUAUAUGAAGCUGGGAUCUCUGUGAACACGGCUAAGAAGUGUUAGAUGCACUUACAAUUAUGGGAGCACCGAAACAAUAACAUAAAAAUAGUAGCUCUCCUUAGUUGAGUUUGAGACUUAGGAAUGAUGAUUUGUUAGGAUUUUGUUUUUUCUUUAAAUCACACCUUAUUGGAUUUAGUAUUUAUAAAAAUUACCUCAAAUCCUUGCUUAUUGGACUUAUCAUUUUAAAAACUUCCAUCAAAUCCUCCCUUAUUGGAAAAUUAGGAUUUCAUCUAACAAAAUAUAUCCAGGAUUAUUUGGAAUUAUUUGAAAAUGAUUUCUAGUUACAAUCUAAUGAAAAUAAAUUCCAUCUCAUGAGUUGGUAUUUGAAAAAAUUAUAGUCUUUUUUCUCAAUGAACUUUCGAAUGGUUUAAAGAAGUCUUACUCUUCUCUCAGCCUUUAUGUUUCUUCCUAUGAAAAUCAAAAGAACUCAUUUGAGAACUAGGUCUAAGGAAUGAAUACGAAAAUGAUCCGAAAAAGGAUUCAAACCACAAAGCUAGAUAAUGAAAUGGAACAGAAACGAUAGUCUUACCGUAAGCUUUUGGGUUCUUCAAGUUUCACUUUCAGACAAAGCUAUAAGGCUUUAGAAGCCACUUGAUUCAAGCUUAUAGAUUGAUAUUGGAAGAUUCCCUUCACCAUCUGUUUUGGUCUCUCAAGGUAAUGCUUUCUUCUCCAUGUCGGUUAUAUGCUCUCACGAGUCUCUACAAAUCUCCAUUGAUUCAUUCUUUUGCUUAGAAAGCAUUUCGUUCAUGAAGCUUCCAUCAUUGAAAACUUUUAUUCAAGUUAGCAGCAACUUCAUAUAUCAGCUUCGAGUCUUGAUGAUCAACAAGGGACAUAACCAGAGACGAACAACUAUGUUCGUAGUAUGACGUAUCAACCGGGAAAAGCCAUUUUGUUAAUUCUUUUUUUUUAAUUAACGAGUUUUAGCGACGUCGUUAUGUAUAAAGAUAAUCCCACCAUUUGAACAGAAUCCUGCCAAAAUCUCCCAUCAAAAUAACUACCAAAAUCUUCAAACCCCUAUCAAAAUCUUCAAAUUCUAUCUAAAUUCCACUAAUUUAAGAACUCCCAAAAAUUUUCCAAACCCUCGAUUCAAUAAGCCCCCCUUAGUUGAGUUUUUUUUGUUAAAGUUGUUAGGUAUCAUUCUGUUUAAUGUAUUUGGUGGCAUGGCUGUCCAUUAAGGGCUAUUGCGAAAAGAGAAUUAGUAAGUAUCAACUAUGAUUAAACCCUAUAAACAGUGGAAUGAGUAGAGCAUUUUGGAUCUAAUCCACGUCUCCUAAGAGCAUCUCCAAUCACACUCUAUUUUUCACUCUAAAAUAGAGUUUAGAGUAAAAAAUGCUCCAAUGAUACUCCAUUUCUCACUCUAUAAUAUAGAGUAAUUUGUUUUUUUUUCUUUUCAUCACUCUAUUUUCUACUCUAAAAUAGAGUACCAUUGGAGCAAAUUCAAACUCUAUUAUAGAGUUACCCUAUUUUAAAGUAAAAAAUAGAGUAAGUCAUUGAAGAUGGUCUAAGUCCUAAGUUGUUAUCAUUUGGAACUUUUUAUUUUAGAACCAUUUACAAUAUAUAAAAUAAUAAUUAAAUCACUCAAACCAAAAUGGAGAUUCCAACGUUUUGAAGUUGACAUCUGCUGACGCCAGUUCGCAGCAGUAACUGCGAAUGAUUUAUUUCUAUUAAUUAAAUUAAUAUAAAUCCUUGUCUUCAUCUGAUUUUUCUCCAAGAUCACUUGUGAUUUAGAGCAUCUCCAACCUUACUUAAUUUUUUACUCUAAAAUAAAAUUUAAAGUAAAAAAUGCUCCAAUGGUACUCUAUUUCUUAUUUUAUAAUAGAGUGAAAAAUAGGUUUACUCUAAAUAUAGAGUAAUUUGUUUUUUUUUGUUCAUCACUCUGUUUUUUAUUCUAAAUUAGAGUACCAUUAGAGCAAACUCAAACUUUAUUAUACAAUUACUUUAUUUUAAAUUAAAAAAUAGAGUAAGCCAUUGGAGAUGGUCUUACACAUUCCUGUCGCUUACCAAUUGGCUUCUUCGUGCGUGGGGCUCAUUAGAGAUAAUUGUGUGGUUCUCUUUCGUCGCAAAAAAAUAAAAAUAUUAAUUACCUUUUUAAAAUGGAUGUUUUGAUUUAAUAUAUUAAAUUUGUGGUUUGACACUCUAAUUCGGAUAAUCUGCCUCUUCAAGUCAAAUUCGACUACUCAAUAUUGUUAGCUCCGUAAUCUAACCUAUACUAAAAGGAGAAUACUCUGAGUGUUUAGGAUGUCCACGUCAGCACGAAAAAUCUACAAAUCCGAGCUUGACAAGUCAGCCGAAUUCUAUAUCAUUUCUUCCACUCGGACCGGUUGGGGCUCCAGCAAAUAAAGUUACCAAAAAAUCUAAUUCACAGCCCAAAAUAGGCCCGUCAAAGUUAUAUUUUUCACCUUACCUAGAGGCUGGACCGCAGAACCGCCGGAUGCGAUUCAACUUCUGUGUAAUUGAAGCUCUCCACUUCUUUGAUUCUUCAGUUCCUCAUCAAUUCCGUAACGUUCCAUGUGAACUCUUCACUUCCUCCAACAUCAACAUAUAUUAAGUUACCAGCGUACUUUCCUGCACUCCAGUUCUUCACACCCAGUAAUGAAAACCUAUUGUAUCAAUGGCAGGCAAAAUCAAGCACCAGAAGCUAUAAGUACUGUGAAAAAACACUUAAGAAAAUGGAUGGAGCAAUCGUUUCUUCAGAACCUCCACACCAUGUAGUUAUCUUAUCUUGCAAGCACCAUCAAGAAGAGUUUGAGAGAUUUUCAAUUCCUCAAAAAGACGGAGAUCGUCGCACCAAAACUGAUUCGUUUUUUCUGCAGCUUCAUCCCUCUUCUCGGAGGAAAGGUUUCUCUCCAAUCUGACAUUUUCAAAAGACAAGCCAAUUGCUGCUACACUCAAAACACCUUUGCGGCUGAAAAUCUCUUAAGGUGAACACUUUUUAUAAAUAAGUGAUCCAGAAAAUUUUAAUAUGUUCUCUUAUAAUUUGGAAUAUAGGGAAACAAGCCGUCAGUUCUCGACCAUUACUAUGCCAGCUGGUAAAAAAACUUCUCGGAAGAGGAAAUGUCUAAUAGAUGAUGGAUUAAUAAUUCCAAACAAGUAAGAUAUCUUUUUUGUAACCUUCGAUAAUAUUCAUCUACGGAGUUCCUUAAUAUGUAUGUGUGUAAUAUAUAUACAUUGGUUAUAGUGUACAGUUAUGAAGGAAAUGACAGAAGACAUAAGUACAUUUGUCACAAAAUUGAGAAAGGUUCCUCAUACUGACUAUUAUGAGAGAAUAAUCAAACGUUUUUCCGAACAAUGGAAAUGUAUAAAAUAGAUAUGCUUGGAUAUUCCCACAUACAUUUCAAUAAACUACAUAUUAGCGUUUUACUUCUUCUCGGUUUCCUUUGUCUUUCAUGCAAACCUUUUUGUCUGAUUGUCUAAUAGAGGAGAGGCAAGAAGUUGUUACUGAAAAGGUUGUGUGCAACAAGCUCAAGUUCACCACCAUUGUGAAAUGACUUGAACUGUUUGGUGAGUUAUUUGCUUUUUUGUUGAGAUAUCUUAGUAUUGUUAUAGCGUUGUACAAACCUCAUUCUCUUGAUGCGUAAUAUUUUUCAUUAAAGAUAAAACUCAGCAACGCGUCUAAAAUCCUUCGAAUGAAGUUGGCACAUCAGUUGUCAAGGUAUGCAGAUUUUAAACUUAAAUAUGAAUAAUAAAUUGUGUGCUUAUGGUUUUGUAGAGUUUGUACCUGCGUUAGAGUCCAGACCUUUUGAUUCUUGCAUUUCAGAAUAUGGGGCCAAGAGAGUAGUAGAAAUCUAGCUCUUAAUAUACAGCUUUGGACCGCUCACCGCAUCAGCACCAAUCUGUUUUGUAUUUUAUGUGCAUUCAUUUAUGUGAAAAAAAUUCUGUAAUUGAUUGUUUCGGAAUUCUUCCUAAAACCUCUUGAUUGUUGCAUUGUUUAUUUCCAGGUACCUGAAAUAUCCAUUUCAUUCACUGGAGAUGGGAAGAAGUUUCAAGCUGGUUGAUGAUCACCUGUGUCCUUGGUUUUUGGCAUGGCAGGUUCAUGGCCGGUUUCACAUAGACGAGCUAGAAAUCUACUCUCACUUGUGUGGUUGCUUAUGGUAUAGAUAAAAAAUGUUGUAGACUUUCAUUACUUAUUUAUGUGAUGAUAUGAAGCUUUUUUUGUUUGACUUUCUAGCUAUUGCUUUGUCAAACUUCUUCUUUUGUUUUCUUGACUUAGCGUUGUUUCUUCUACUGCAAAACGAGGUUAUAGGAAAGAUUUUGUGCUACGUAAUACUGAUUCAUUUAAUAGUUAGCUUAUGUGUUACACGUUGGGUCACAAAAUCUUCCAACAUUUUGUAACAAUUUGACUAUGUAUUCCUAUUGUCUAGCUGAAAGUUCUCUGUUUUUAUCAUAGCUAUUGAAUGUA